UACGGGGGGGGCAAGCGUUGUUCGGAAUUACUGGGCGUAAAGGGCUCGUAGGUGGCCAACUAAGUCGGACGUGAAAUCCCUCAGCUUAACUGGGGAACUGCGUCCGAUACUGGAUGGCUUGAGUUUGGGAGAGGGAUGCGGAAUUCCAGGUGUAGCGGUGAAAUGCGUAGAUAUCUGGAAGAACACCCGUGGCGAAGGCGGCUCUCUGGGACGGUACUGACGCUGAGACGCGAAAGCGUGGGGAGCGAACAGG
rnacentral:rRNA from 1 species